AUGCAGACGAAAAACUGCAUAUUCUUCAAGCUGGACAGAUUAUUACUCCCUCCGUCUCAUAAUAUAAGAGCGUUUUUGACACUAUACUUGUGUCAAAAGCGCUCUUAUAUUAUGGGACACCGUGUUAUUGGUUUAGGUGCUGGGCGCUCGUGGUCAUGGGAAGGAUCUGUUGCUGGAUCGUUCAAGCUAGACAGACUGUUUCUGGAGCUGCAGCACCGUGCACUCCAUGCUCCCUUCCGCCUCCGGCUCGGCGGACUUCUUCCAGUACGGAACGGCGGAGGUCACCAUCGCCCAGCCGUCAAAGAUGGCCAAGCUCAUUAUUGGAGAGCCACACUGCGGCUGGCUCUACGACGGACCAAGCGCUGCCUCGACCCACCAGCCGUAUUACCCGACGGCGUUCUCCGGCGGCGGCGACCUUACGGACGCGGUCGCCGGCACGGCGAGCGGCCUCUCGCUCAGGCUAGGUGCCCAGUCUUCCUCGGUCACCAUGGCGAGCAUGCCGGAGCAGUCCUCGGAGGUGAGCUGCUCCGGCCUGACCCAUGUGAACAGCGAAGGCUUUGGCUACCAGCAGCCUCAGGCCGUCAGGGCUCACGCCGGCGCCGGCCAGUUCCAUCUGCCUCCUUACGGCGAUGUCGGUGCCGGCGACUACGAGCUGCGGCACGUGUACCCACAGAUGUAUUCGAGGCCUCCGCACUUCUCGCAGGUGCUGCCGCGGUCGGGAACUCGGGAUACGCGCACAUUGCCCAGGAGCUGCUGAAUGGGUUCGCCAGCUGCCUGCUGACGGACAUGGCCGAGACGACUGAUGAUUCAGUCAGCGACAUUGGCAGCGAGGCAAGCCUGCUGCUCUCGUCGAGCUGCUCAGCGAGGACGCCGUCGUCGGUGAGCUCCAACCACCUGAUGCUUCCCUCCGAGGAGCACCCAGCCGACGGCGGGAGGUGGAUGCAGGCUCAGAGGGUGAGAGCAUCUCCAACAGGCGACGAACGCGCCGCGCGCAAAAAACUGCUUUGCCGCGCGCCCAUCAUCUCGUUUGGCGCGGCGCGCAGCGCUGACUCCAGCAGCCGCGCUAAAAUGCAGCACGCGCGCGCCGCUCCAGCAGCACGCAAAAAAUGCAGCGCGUGUGACUCAUCGGGGCAUUGCAUAUACUCCCUCCAUUCCAUAAUGUAG
rnacentral:rRNA from 1 species